CCAGUAAACGGCGGCCGUAACUAUAACGGUCCUAAGGUAGCGAAAUUCCUUGUCGGGUAAGUUCCGACCUGCACGAAUGGCGUAAUGAUGGCCAGGCUGUCUCCACCCGAGACUCAGUGAAAUUGAACUCGCUGUGAAGAUGCAGUGUACCCGCGGCAAGACGGAAAGACCCCGUGAACCUUUACUAUAGCUUGACACUGAACAUUGAGCCUUGAUGUGUAGGAUAGGUGGGAGGCUUUGAAGUGUGGACGCCAGUCUGCAUGGAGCCAACCUUGAAAUACCACCCUUUAACGUUUGAUGUUCUAACCUAGGCCCAUAAACUGGGUCGGGGACCGUGUCUGGUGGGUAGUUUGACUGGGGCGGUCUCCUCCUAAAGAGUAACGGAGGAGCACGAAGGUUGGCUAAGCAUGGUCGGACAUCAUGCGGUUAGUGCAAAGGCAUAAGCCAGCUUGACUGCGAGAGUGACGGCUCGAGCAGGUACGAAAGUAGGUCUUAGUGAUCCGGUGGUUCUGAAUGGAAGGGCCAUCGCUCAACGGAUAAAAGGUACUCCGGGGAUAACAGGCUGAUACCGCCCAAGAGUUCAUAUCGACGGCGGUGUUUGGCACCUCGAUGUCGGCUCAUCACAUCCUGGGGCUGAAGUAGGUCCCAAGGGUAUGGCUGUUCGCCAUUUAAAGUGGUACGCGAGCUGGGUUUAGAACGUCGUGAGACAGUUCGGUCCCUAUCUGCCGUGGGCGUUGGAAGAUUGAGAGGGGUUGCUCCUAGUACGAGAGGACCGGAGUGAACGCACCACUGGUGUUCGGGUUGUCAUGCCAAUGGCAUUGCCCGGUAGCUAAGUGCGGAAGAGAUAACCGCUGAAAGCA
rnacentral:rRNA from 1 species